ACGAACGCUGGCGGCGUGCUUAACACAUGCAAGUCGAGCGGUAAGGCCCUUUCGGGGGUACGACGAGCGGCGAACGGGUGAGUAACACGUGGGUGACCUGCCCUCAGCUCUGGGAUAAGCCUGGGAAACUGGGUCUAAUACUGGAUAUGACUCCACGGUGCAUGUCGUGGGGUGGAAAGCCUUGUGCGGCUGAGGAUGGGCCCGCGGCCUAUCAGCUUGUUGGUGGGGGG
rnacentral:rRNA from 1 species